AGAACGAACGCUGGCGGCAUGCCUAAUACAUGCAAGUCGAACGAACUCUUCGGAGUUAGUGGCGCACGGGUGCGUAACGCGUGGGAAUCUGCCCCUUGGUCCGGAAUAACAGUUGGAAACGACUGCUAAUACCGGAUGAUGACGAAAGUCCAAAGAUUUAUCGCCAAGGGAUGAGCCCGCGUAGGAUUAGCUAGUUGGUGAGGUAAAGGCUCACCAAGGCAACGAUCCUUAGCUGGUCUGAGAGGAUGAUCAGCCACACUGGGACUGACGACACGGCCCAGACUCCGUACGGGAGCAGCAGGUGGGGAAUAGUUGGACAAGUGGGGACGAAAGCCC
rnacentral:rRNA from 1 species